rnacentral:rRNA from 1 species
UACGGAGGAUGCAAGCGUUAUCCGGAUUCAUUGGGUUUAAAGGGUGCGCAGGCGGGGAUGUAAGUCAGUGGUGAAAAACUGCCGCUCAACGGUAGUCGUGCCAUUGAUACUGCAUCUCUUGAGUUUGGAUGAGGUAGGCGGAAUGUGCAGUGUAGCGGUGAAAUGCAUAGAGAUUGCACAGAACACCAAUUGCGAAGGCAGCUUACUAAUCCACGACUGACGCUGAGGCACGAAAGCGUGGGGAGCGAACAGG